rnacentral:lncRNA from 1 species
AAGGAGUGAAAAGGGAGUGGGACGGUUCACACACGUUUGUGCACGAGGACCACGUUCCCACGAGUCUUCGUGUAAACGUCGUUGGUGGUGUCGUUCGAUCGUGUUGUUCCCCUAUUUCCCUCCCUCCCCCCUUUGUCACUCUUUUUCUCUCUCACUCUCUUUCUCUCUCUCUCUCUCUCUCGGUUAAAUAGCGAGGGUGGAAAAAAGAGAGAGAGAGAGAGAGAGGACAGGGGGAGGAACGGGACGAUCCAAAAGAACGAACGAAGCUCAUCCAGGUUUAUACCGGUAACACGCACAAUGGCAAUUACAAUCGGGCCAAUUUAUUCGCGUUAUCGGAAAUUUAUCUGUCGUAACGACGACCAACGGCGGCUUCGCGCUUCUCGCGUCCCGUGAAUUAACUUUAUCGCUGGUUCGAGUCGGCUUCGAAGCGUAUGUACACCGCGUGAGCUCGGCAACCGAUUAUUGCACCACCACUACUACUACUACCACUAUUGCGACUAGUAGUAGUUGAAGUAGUAGGGACAUCAUCAACACCAUCGCAAUCGACGUUGGACGACACCUGCACGUUGCUCGUAGGACAAUCAUCAUCGUGUUGUAUUAUCUUUCACAAGAUCGAGCUAUACGAUAAGACCGGCAGAGAUCCUUCCGGAAGAACGAUCACUUUAUAUUUCGGUGCCAAGCUCUCGUCGAAUUUGGAUUACCGCCGGUAAAAAGGUAUUCGAGCUACUCACGCUAGAAUGGACGCAUUGUGGACACCCAAAGUAUUAACAGAUUUGUUUCAUUGUUCCUUCAACGACACUACUAUCUUGGUCCUUGAGAAUAAAAAAGAGUUGCCUCUUCAGUACCUUUCAA